GUAAGGCCACCUUGAACAAGCUGGCUGCAGAGAAAAAUUCAACAUGAUGUGAAAACAGAGGAGGAAGUGGGUAUGUGAGGUCCUCACAAGUGUGAGCCUGAGCUUCUGUAGCCACGGGUUGGCAAUGCCCAGAGGCUGUUGUGAGGAACGCUCAGCCAGGUACCCUUGAGAAAGGCCACAUGUCCUUACAUCUCCUGAUCUACUAGUGUCUAGUUCCUAACCCAGCCUGUGUGAGGGCCCAGAAAGUUAAAACUUUUGAUUUACUCCCUCAUUCUAUGAAUGGGCAUUUGUGUCUGGUUUGAUCCAUUCCUGGGAAGAGCUGGGUAGGUACUAUCCAAUAGGGAGCAGCUAGGCUUGCCCAUGAGCUCUAUGAGGGCAGGGAACUUACCUAUGUACUGUGUCCAGAGGUUUCCAGAAAGCCCUACCUAAAGUAAGACACUGCAGAGGAAUCUGACGCUUCUGGUCAUAAGGACUCCAGCUCUCCUCCAUGAGGGCAUCCAGAACAGGAAGCUUCCACGAGCAAGUGGCUGGCCUCUGACAAGCCUGUCUGCACUGACUCACAAAGAGCCCAAGACUU
rnacentral:lncRNA from 1 species